rnacentral:rRNA from 1 species
GUGAGGAAUAUUGGUCAAUGGGCGAGAGCCUGAACCAGCCAAGUAGCGUGAAGGAUGACUGCCCUAUGGGUUGUAAACUUCUUUUAUAAAGGAAUAAAGUCGGGUAUGCAUACCCGUUUGCAUGUACUUUAUGAAUAAGGAUCGGCUAACUCCGUGCCAGCAGCCGCGGUAAUACGGAGGAUCCGAGCGUUAUCCGGAUUUAUUGUGUUUAAAGGGAGCGUAGAUGGAUGUUUAUGUCAGUUGUGAAAGUUUGCGGCUCAAACGUAACAGUGCAGUUGAUACUGGAUAUCUUGAGUGCAGUUGAGGCAGGCGGAAUUCGUGGUGUAGCGGUGAAAUGCUUAGAGAUCACGAAGAACUCCGAUUGCGAAGGCAGCCUGCUAAGCUGCAACUGACAUUGAGGCUCGAAAGUGUGGGUAUCAAACAGGAUUAGAAACCAGAGUAGUCC